rnacentral:rRNA from 1 species
GACGAACGCUGGCGGCGUGCUUAACACAUGCAAGUCGAACGGUAAACGAGUGAGCUUGCUCCCUCCGGGUCAGUGGCUAACGGGUGAGUAACACGUGAGCAAUCUGCCCCGAACUCUUGGAUAAUCGUUUGAAACGACUUCUAAUACCGGAUACGACGCGGUAGGGCAUCCUCUCCGCGUUCAACGAACUUCGGUUCGGGGUGGGCUCGCGGCCUAUCAGCUUGUUGGUGGGGUAACGGCUCACCAAGGCGCCGAAGGGUAGCCGGCCUGAGAGGGUGACCGGCCACAAUGGGACUGAGACACGGACCAGACUCCUACGGGAGGCAGCAGUGGGGAAUAUUGCACAAUGGGCGCAAGCCUGAUGCAGCAACGCCGCGUGAGGGACGACGGCCUUCGGGUUGUAAACCUCUGUUAGCAGGGAAGAAGCGAAAGUGACGGUACCUGAAGAAAAAGCACCGGCUAACUACGUG